rnacentral:lncRNA from 1 species
UUGACCCCAAACCCCCUCCCAGUGCUCCCAGUACAAACCAGUAUUCCCAGUAUGGCUCCCAGUGCUCCCAGUAUAAACCAGUGACCCCACCCAGUGCUCCCAGUAUGGACCAGUAUGGCUCCCAGUGCUCCCAGUAUGGCUCCCAGUGCUCCCAGUAUGGACCAGUUUGGCUCCCAGUGCUCCCAGUAUGAACCAGUGACCCCUCCCAGUGUUCCCAGUAUGGACCAGUAUGGCCCCAACCCUCUCCCAGUAUUCCCAGUAUGGCUCCCAGUGCUCCCAGUAUGAACCAGUGACCCCUCCCAGUGCUCCCAGUAUGGACCAGUAUGACCCAAACCCUCUCCCAGUAUUCCCAGUUUGGCUCCCAGUGCUCCCAGUAUGGCUCCCAGUGCUCCCAGUAUAGAUCCCAGUGGUCCCAGUAUGACCCAGUUUGGCUCCCAGUGCUCCCAGUAUAAACCAGUAACCCCCAAUCCUACCCAGUAACCCCUCCCAGUUUGAUCCCAGUCCCUCCCAGUCCCUCCCAGUUUGAUCCCAGUCCCUCCCAGUUUGAUCCCAGUCCCUCCCAGUCCCUCCCAGUCCCUCCCAGUUCAUCCCAGUCCCUCCCAGUCCCCCCGGGCCGGGCCUGUCCCAGCAGCUCCUCCCCCGCCAGACCAGUUCUCCCAGUUCUCCCAGUAAC